ACGGGUGAGUAACACGUGGGUAACCUGCCCAUCAGAAGGGGAUAACACUUGGAAACAGGUGCUAAUACCGUAUAACACUAUUUUCCGCAUGGAAGAAAGUUGAAAGGCGCUUUUGCGUCACUGAUGGAUGGACCCGCGGUGCAUUAGCUAGUUGGUGAGGUAACGGCUCACCAAGGCCACGAUGCAUAGCCGACCUGAGAGGGUGAUCGGCCACACUGGGACUGAGACACGGCCCAGACUCCUACGGGAGGCAGCAGUAGGGAAUCUUCGGCAAUGGACGAAAGUCUGACCGAGCAACGCCGCGUGAGUGAAGAAGGUUUUCGGAUCGUAAAACUCUGUUGUUAGAGAAGAACAAGGAUGAGAGUAGAACGUUCAUCCCUUGACGGUAUCUAACCAGAAAGCCACGGCUAACUACGUGCCAGCAGCCGCGGUAAUACGUAGGUGGCAAGCGUUGUCCGGAUUUAUUGGGCGUAAAGCGAGCGCAGGCGGUUUCUUAAGUCUGAUGUGAAAGCCCCCGGCUCAACCGGGGAGGGUCAUUGGAAACUGGGAGACUUGAGUGCAGAAGAGGAGAGUGGAAUUCCAUGUGUAGCGGUGAAAUGCGUAGAUAUAUGGAGGAACACCAGUGGCGAAGGCGGCUCUCUGGUCUGUAACUGACGCUGAGGCUCGAAAGCGUGGGGAGCGAACAGGAUUAGAUACCCUGGUAGUCCACGCCGUAAACGAUGAGCGCUAAGUGUUGGAGGGUUUCCGCCCUUCAGU
rnacentral:rRNA from 1 species